CAUUAAAACCUGGGACACCCUGUGUAUACAUAUAUAUAUAAUAUAUAUGUAUAUAUAUUUUAGACCUUAAUUAGGAGACUGACUGAGAGACACGGGAACGGGGUACUCGUAUCGAAGCCCGGCGCCGGGAUACGUGAAACCAGUCGUCGAAUCCUCGAUCCGAAUGUUGUUCCAUGCCGACGCAACAAUUGCAAUGAUUCUGUUGAAGGGCAAGUGUCGGUAUUGCCGCGGCCGGCCCAAAUACCGCGGCGUUUCAUAAAAGCAAUAAAACGUGUGAUUUCACGGUGUGCAAUCUUCUGGAAAUGAAUCUCACGAUUUUUCACGCGUCUAACAUCGAUUAUUUGUGACAUACAAGCAACAAGUAAUCGCAGUUUUAAUUGAUUUAUCGACUUUCUACGAAGCUGCGAAUCUUUCGGCACGAAAGCUCGAAGAACGCUCGAAGUAUCGAAGCUCGAACUUCGAAGUGUCGACGUCCUUUCAAGCAACAGAGAUCAUUUCAUUUACUUUAGCUCGCGGCGAGCAUCAAAUUCGACGCGCGGUAAUCGGGACGUCCGCGGUAUUCGGCUCGCAGUAAUAGGUACCGCGGCGAUGCGCGCACGCGUAUGGUUUUUUCACGCUUCUCGACGAAGCUCGCGCUUUCAGAGACCCGAUAUUUUACCAAAAACUAAACGUUCCAGUUGAAGGACAAUAGGCACAGCUCGAAUUAAUCGGCGCGAAAGGUCCCAUUUUCCCUGCGAAAGUUCGUCUUCGCCGUGGAAAACGCGGCGAUACCCGCACUUCCCCUGUCGCACGAGGGUUGCCGAUGGGCACCCUUCUCGCUGGGUGCUUCGCGGAGGUCGGGGCAACGAGGCCGGCGUUGUUGAUCCGCUCGUUCGUGUACCUCGCGAGGCGGAUUUCAGCGCGGAGGUCCGACAGGUGGACGCGGACGAUGCCGUUCGCCGGGCCUUUCUUCGAUUUCUCCGAGGAAGCCGAGUCGCGUUCGAAUCGGCGCGCGCGCUCGGUUCGAACACGAACGAACGGGUUAACAGGUCGGCGAUAAACGAUCGAUCGUUUAUCGAAAUAUCGCGCAGGGAUUGCAAACGGUGGAAGAUCGUCGCGGCACCGGCGAGCUCUGUCGACACCGUUGUUCCCGGAUCGAGUGAAUUAUUCGCGAGAUCGGCGUCGCGCGCGCGCAGCGAACGUUCUCGCGAAUUACGAUAAUUAAUAUUGCAAAGCGCGAUCCGGCUCCGCGCGAUCCGGGACGAGCCGGACGAACGAUAAUGCGGACAAUACGGCUGAAAGUUUGAUCCCGCGCGGGAAACAGCGCGCGGGAGGCGUUGCAGUUUGAAUGCGGUCGCGCGACCGCUGUCGAAAAAAAGAGAAAAAAGAAACAGAACGAAAGCUGGAAGAAGACGAACGGCACGCGAUCGACGAUCCUGAAGCGUGCGGAACGCGGUCGGACGCGGUCUCUGCGAUAUUGAUUGUCGGCGGAGGACCGCGGCGGAGGAUACGCGAUACCCGGCCGAGCGAGAAAUGUGAUUUUAUUAGACGACGUAUGUAUUUAUCGAGAAAUUUUAUUUAGCGGAUUUCAGGGACGACGGCGUAGAUAAUUGUUAAUACGUACUUGGUGCUCAACAAUCGCGAGAAACGGAACGGGGAGCGGAACAUCCCGUCCACGCUUGUUUGACCCUCUUCUCGCGCACGUUCGUUUUCCAUGCACAAAUAAGAAACGUCGAUGUUCCGGAAACAGCCGGAAACACGCCGCGCGGAAUGAAUUGCGUUGAUCACGCGGCGGAUCUGGUCCCACGCCGAGCUCCACAAUCUUCGUUUUACCGGGACCACAAGCAUGUGUUUUUCGUUGAGACGCGCGUGUGCAUCGAUGAUGUUCGAUCGAUUGUUCGUCGGCGAACGAUCGGCGACGGAAGAAUGAAAUGAAGCAAACGAUGGCCGAAGAGCGAGCGAGAGAGAGAGAGAGAGAGAGAGAGAGACACGAAGUACAAAAAGCGUGAACGCGAAAUUCUUCCGAGAUUAUUAGCCCCGCGUUGCUCCGCGGAGCGAAGGGAGUUGUCUCGCGUGCUCGGUGGAGCACGCGACCUGUCACUCGGUGCAUAAUUAUCACAAUGUAUACAUAUAUAUAUUUGUUAUGAAUAGCGAUUACCAAAGGAAUUAUUUUCCAGCGAGCCUCUUCCCGGCAGGCGCACCAGGAAGACGGCGCUCCCUUCGUUUCUGGGAGGGUCAAAGAAGUGGCGUGAUUGUGCAAAGAAAUGGAAAGAGACGGGCUCUCGAGGCCGGGCAAAAAAGGACUCGACAUCUUCUCUUCUGUAAUAAUGAAUCGCGUUCACGGUCGCGAUUCUCGCGGCGAAUCGUGGAUAGAAAGCGUAGGCCGGUUAAUCGAGUUAGAAGAAAACGCGAGGGGGAUGCACGCGAGCGAGUGGGAAAAUAUAAAAAAAAAUAAAGAAGCAUAAUAAGCGAAUAAAUAAUAUCAGUUCACACGGGAGAACCUACUAUGCAAUGAAUCCAAUAGCAAUAAUUGUAUAAACAAAGAGAGCGGGAGUGAGAGAGAGAGAGAGAUGGAGGGGAGAAAAGAAGAGAAAAAGCGUACGGAAAGAGAAAGAAAGACUUUGAUGAGACGGCGGCUGUAUGAACGGAGUUAGGGGACGAUGAAGAAAAACCUCGCGGAGACGUUGGAAUGACAUCGCACUGCGUAUAUUAUACAAUUAUAUCGUUUUUGUGCGAGGAUAGAGAGCAAGAGAGAGAGAGAGAGAGAGAGUGAGAGAGAGUGAGAGAGUGAGAGAGAAUGAGAGAGUGAGAGAGAGCGAGAGAGGGAUGAAAGAGAGUAAUAACCGAAUGAAAUUGACACCGUUUCUUCGGCUCCGCUAAUCACGCUACACUAUAAAUAAAUGAAUAAAAAUAUAUAUAUAUAUACAUAUUAUAUAUAUAUGAAAAAGUAUAUAUAUAUUAUAUGUCAAGAGAUAUUUAUACUAGUAUUUUAAUAGUUUAGUAUAUAACGCAAGAUAUAAAUAUAUAUGUAUAUAUAUAUAAAUAUUACACGCAUUAUAUAUAUAUUAUAUAUAUAUACAUAUACAGAGAGAAGAAAGAGAAUGAAAGCGAACACGUGUGUACUAUACAAACAAUAAUAAAAAAAAAGGAGAAA